rnacentral:lncRNA from 12 species
UACAGUAUUGCCAUCAAUUCUCUUCUCCUUCUGCCUUCAUGGAAACCUCUCCAGAUGGUCACGUGUCUUUCUUAAGAAACCGGCCCUCCUGCAGUCGAAUCCCACUUCUAAUACUUAUGAGCCUGACCAACAGCAUGCAAAGGAUCCCUGCCAGGCAGGUGACACAGAAAUGGGGGACAGUGCACGGACCCUCAGCCCUCCCUCAGGUACCAGCAUGGACUGACACCACCUCAACAGUCUCCAAGUUCCAAAAAAUUGUAUUCAUCCCUCGAUAAACCAUAAAUAGGAUGGUUUAUUAUUCAAGAGCACUGAGUCUGUGAAAAUCCCUGUCUGAGGCUGUGAAGAUAUGAGUGCGGAGACCAACAUGUGCCCCGUGAACUUGCCAUUCAACGAUGGAAAGCAAAUGGACAUGUGCUCUGAGCAAGGUUUGAUCUCAUAGAGGAAGAUAAAUGGCUUAUGUUCCUGGAUGGUGGGUGUAGACAGCUUUAUGUGAGAAUCAGGGAAGGCUCCUCUGAGGUUGAGUUAGCAUCAGCAAGGAAAGGCAGAGCCAUGGAGAGGGAAUACCUCAAGCAAAGGCCCAGACACUAGCAAGCAAGAACAUCUUCAUGGAGUCAUGGGGUUAGAAAGACCAUCAGUACCUAUGGCAUUCUCGUGGACUUGUUGAAAGGAAAAUAUAUAUCCUGAAGUAAAGCAAAACGUGAGAGGUUUGCCCCUUAUUUACUUAAGAACAUACUUAAGAGAGCUAAGUGGGAAAAUCCUUAAUUUAUUACUGACUGGAUGAAAAACAUGCUGCAGCCUCUAUGCCUGCCCCACUCUUCUGCUGAACAGCUCAGCAAGCAUUUACUCAACCCCCGCUGAGUCAGACCCAGGGCCUGCUGAGGAGGACGGUGGGACACAGAGGACCACCUACUAUAUGAUUAUAUUUAUAUGAAAUGCCCUGAUUUCUUUCACUUGGGUUGUUGCCAUGUGCAUUACAGCAUGUACCAUGUACUGUGUAUGUAUCUGUAGCAUGUAGCAUGCAUAGGGUCGAUUCUACCUUUCAGCUGUUAGGAGAAUGCUCCCAUGAUUAUUAGUGUGCAAAUUUUUGUGUACACCUGUUUCCAGUUCUCUUGAGUAAGCACAUAGGAGUAGAAUGGCUGUCAUAGGGUGAAUGCUUCACUUUCUGAGGAACAACACAACUGUUUUCCAAAAAGGCUGCAACAUUCUGCAUUCCCACCAACAAAGAUAUGAGGGUUCUGAUUUCUCCACGUCCUCACCAAACUAGUCAUUGUCUUU